rnacentral:tRNA from 1 species
UAUUUUAAUAGCUUAUAAAGAGUAUAAUAUUGAAGAUAUUAGGGAAGUUAAUUAACUUUAAAAUAU